rnacentral:rRNA from 1 species
UACGAAGGGGGCUAGCGUUGUUCGGAAUUACUGGGCGUAAAGCGCGCGCAGGCGGCUAUCCAAGUCAGUGGUGAAAGCCCGGAGCUCAACUCCGGAACUGCCAUUAAAACUGUUUAGCUUGAGGAUGAGAGAGGUGAGUGGAAUUCCCAGUGUAGAGGUGAAAUUCGUAGAUAUUGGGAAGAACACCGGUGGCGAAGGCGGCUCACUGGCUCAUUACUGACGCUCAGGCGCGAUAGCGUGGGGAUCAAACAGG